UGGGAGCACAGAGCAAUCUGUGUGACUGCGUACCUUUUGUAUAAUGGGUCAGCGACUUAUAUUCUGUAGCAAGGUUAACCGAAUAGGGGAGCCGAAGGGAAACCGAGUCUUAACUGGGCGUUAAGUUGCAGGGUAUAGACCCGAAACCCGGUGAUCUAGCCAUGGGCAGGUUGAAGGUUGGGUAACACUAACUGGAGGACCGAACCGACUAAUGUUGAAAAAUUAGCGGAUGACUUGUGGCUGGGGGUGAAAGGCCAAUCAAACCGGGAGAUAGCUGGUUCUCCCCGAAAGCUAUUUAGGUAGCGCCUCGUGAAUUCAUCUCCGGGGGUAGAGCACUGUUUCGGCAAGGGGGUCAUCCCGACUUACCAACCCGAUGCAAACUGCGAAUACCGGAGAAUGUUAUCACGGGAGACACACGGCGGGUGCUAACGUCCGUCGUGAAGAGGGAAACAACCCAGACCGCCAGCUAAGGUCCCAAAGUCAUGGUUAAGUGGGAAACGAUGUGGGAAGGCCCAGACAGCCAGGAUGUUGGCUUAGAAGCAGCCAUCAUUUAAAGAAAGCGUAAUAGCUCACUGGUCGAGUCGGCCUGCGCGGAAGAUGUAACGGGGCUAAACCAUGCACCGAAGCUGCGGCAGCGACACUGUGUGUUGUUGGGUAGGGGAGCGU
rnacentral:rRNA from 1 species